rnacentral:rRNA from 1 species
CCCUUAGAUGCUCUAGGCCGCACGCGCGCUACACUGGUCGAUGCAACGAGUUUCUUUCCUUGGCCGACAGGCCUGGGCAAUCUUUGAACAUCGAUCGUGAUCGGGAUAGAUUCUUGUAAUUUUUGAUCUUAAACGAGGAAUUCCUAGUAAACGCAAGUCAUCAGCUUGCAUUGAUUACGUCCCUGCCCUUUGUACACACCGCCCGUCGCACCUACCGAUUGAAUGGUCCGGUGAAAUCUCCGGACUGGCGUGAGUCGGAGCAAUCUGACAAACACCGGAAAGUUGAUUAAACCUUACCAUUUAGAGGAAGGUGAAGUCGUAACA